rnacentral:rRNA from 1 species
AAGGCGUAACGAUUUGGGCACUGUCUCAACAACAGACUCGGUGAAAUUGUAAUUCCGGUGAAGAUGCCGGAUACAUGCGACAGGACGGAAAGACCCCAUGGAGCUUUACUGUAGCUUGACAUUGGGUUUUGGUACUACAUGUACAGGAUAGGUGGGAGGCUUUGAAACACGGACGCCAGUUUUUGCGGAGCCAUGCUUGGGA